rnacentral:rRNA from 1 species
GACAGAGGGGGCAAACGUUGCUCGGAAUUACUGGGCGUAAAGCGCGUGUAGGCGGACCGGAAAGUCGGGCGUGAAAUCCCUGGGCUCAACCCAGGAACUGCACUCGAAACUUCCGGCCUUGAGUGGUGGAGAGGGUAGUGGAAUUCCUGGUGUAGAGGUGAAAUGCGUAGAUAUCGUAAGGAAGACCAGUGGCGAAGGCGGGUCUCUGGACAGUUCCUGACGCUGAGGCACGAAGGUCAGGGGAGCAAACGGG